rnacentral:rRNA from 1 species
AAUAGAUACCCAGGUAGUCCACACCGUAAACGAUGAGUGCUAGGUGUUGGGGGUCGAACCUCAGUGCCGCAGCUAACGCAUUAAGCACUCCGCCUGGGGAGUACGCACGCAAGUGUGAAACUCAAAGGAAUUGACGGGGACCCGCACAAGCAGCGGAGCAUGUGGUUUAAUUCGAAGCAACGCGAAGAACCUUACCUGGACUUGACAUCCCUCUGACCGACCCUUAAUCGGGUCCUCCCUUCGGGGCAGAGGAGACAGGUGGUGCAUGGUUGUCGUCAGCUCGUGUCGUGAGAUGUUGGGUUAAGUCCCGCAACGAGCGCAACCCUCGUCUUUAGUUGCCAGCAGUUCGGCUGGGCACUCUAGAGAGACUGCCGGGGAUAACUCGGAGGAAGGUGGGGAUGACGUCAAAUCAUCAUGCCCCUUAUGUUCAGGGCUACACACGUGCUACAAUGGCCAAUACAAAGGGUUGCCAAAGAGUAAUCUGGAGCUAAUCCCAUAAAGUUGGUCCCAGUUCGGAUUGUGGCUGAAACUCG